rnacentral:rRNA from 1 species
AUUGAACGCUGGCGGCAGGCCUAACACAUGCAAGUCGAGCGGAUGAAGGGAGCUUGCUCCUGGAUUCAGCGGCGGACGGGUGAGUAAUGCCUAGGAAUCUGCCUGGUAGUGGGGGAUAACGUCCGUAAACGGGCGCUAAUACCGCAUACGUCCUGAGGGAGAAAGUGGGGGAUCUUCUGACCUCACGCUAUCAUAUGAGCCUAGGUCGGAUUUGCUAGUUGGUGGGGUAAAGGCCUACCAAGGCGACGAUCCGUAACUGGUCUGAGAGGAUGAUCAGUCAAACUGGAACUGAGAAAAGGUCCAGAAUCCAACGGGAGGCAGAAGUGGGGAAUAUUGGAAAAUGGGCGAAAGCCUGAACAAGCCAUGCCGCGUGUGUGAAGAAGGUCUUCGGAUUGUAAAGCACUUUAAGUUGGGAGGAAGGGAAGUAAGUUAAUACCUUGCUGUUUUGACGUUACCAACAGAAUAAGAACCGGCUAACUUCGU